rnacentral:rRNA from 2 species
UGGGGAAUAUUGCACAAUGGAGGGAACUCUGAUGCAGCGACGCCGCGUGAACGAAGAAGGCUUUCGAGUCGUAAAGUUCUUUUAUAUGGGAAGAUAAUGACGGUACCAUAAGAAAAAGCCCCGGCUAACUACGUGCCAGCAGACGCGGUAAUACGUAGGGGGCUAGCGUUGUCCGGAAUCACUGGGCGUAAAGGGUUCGCAGGCGGAAAUGCAAGUCAGGUGUAAAAGGCAGUAGCUUAACUACUGUAAGCAUUUGAAACUGCAUAUCUUGAGAAGAGUAGAGGUAAGUGGAAUUUUUAGUGUAGCGGUGAAAUGCGUAGAUAUUAAAAAGAAUACCGGUGGCGAAGGCGACUUACUGGGCUCAUUCUGACGCUGAGGAACGAAAGCGUGGGUAGCAAACAGG